AGCGUCAGAGUGUUUCUCGCUACAAACGAGUGUGGUUGUCUUCAAAAUACGAAAUUCAUUUCGAGCGACGCUAUAUGUGGUGCAGCCGCCACAGCAGCGUUCAUGGAAAAAUCGUUUGAAUUUUGAAAUUCUU
rnacentral:lncRNA from 1 species